UACGGGGGGGGCAAGCGUUGUUCGGAAUUACUGGGCGUAAAGGGCUCGUAGGCGGCCAACUAAGUCAUACGUGAAAUCCCCAGGCUCAACCUGGGAACUGCGUCCGAUACUGGAUGGCUUGAAUCCGGGAGAGGGAUGCAGAAUUCCAGGUGUAGCGGUGAAAUGCGUAGAUAUCUGGAGGAAUACCGGUGGCGAAGGCGGCAUCCUGGACCGGCAUUGACGCUGAGGAGCGAAAGCCAGGGGAGCAAACGGG
rnacentral:rRNA from 1 species